CCCCCUUGCAAUAACUUCAAGGUGCCUCUGGGGAGCGCUCCUCCAUCCUCAAGUCACUGAAUCUUGAUUGAAAUUCAUGGAUUUCAACAAAAAGCAGUCGUGCGGGGAGGUGAUCAGAACCUCCGCAUCAGCGGCAGGGGCGCUGGCAGUGAUGUUUACACGGAAU